AUGGAAAGUCAUUUCCCGUUUGGGGGAAAGGUUGUCGUCUUUGGUGGUGAUUUCAGGCAGGUCCUUCCUAUUGUGACACGUGGGACAAGAGCACAGAUCACGGAUGCUACACUUCUGAGAUCCUAUUUGUGGGAUAAGACACGCAAGAUAAGGCUCACGCGCAACAUGCGGGCACAGUCUGAUCCUUGGUUCUCCGAAUACCUCCUAAGGAUCGGCAAUGGAACGGAACAGACAAUUGGAGAUGACUAUGUUCGUCUCCUGACAACAUUGUGA
rnacentral:rRNA from 1 species